CAGCUCUCCUUAUUGCAGUUGGUUGUGUGUUAUAUCCGAAUGGGUGGAGUCACAUACAGGUUAAAGAGGCAUGCGGUGGAACUUCGGCACCGUUCAACUUAGGUGAAUGUACAUUAGAUUGGGCGUUCUAUUUGACCGCAAGCAGCUGUGGGGCUCUCUUAUUGGCUUCUCUCCUGUCCAUCCGAGCUGGGGCAACCAAAAUGAACCAUUAUGGAAUCUGACAAUGACCCUUGACCUUUUGACAUUGGAGUGCAAAGGUCACAUACGAAACACCUCCGAAAAUGGAACAUGAUUUGGAUCAGGAUCGAAGUCUGCAGCUACUUUUUGUAGAGCAACGUUUCCAUGUCACAACGUAAAUCUUCAAAUGGUGCCUCCUAGCUGCCACUGUGAGACAAGUCCAUGACGAAAUACAACUCACUGACGCCAUAACCCCCCAAAAACGGAGAUGCACGACUCUGCUAGCUAGGUGCUGAAUCGCUGCGCACCAAAGAUGGAAGAUUGAAGAACAGAUGAUAUGGGUAAUGAUAUAUCUGCAAAGCACUAGGAAACCAUCUUUGCAUUGUAAGCAGAAUAUAAUCAUUAAUAUCAUUUACAUGAUAGAUAUAGUUUACAACCUUCCAAUGCAUCAAUGCGACUAGAUACAAUUGUUAAAUGUACUAGUAUUCAAGUUGAUUCAAAUGUGUCUUUUCUCUCUUAGCUGUCAGUGUGACAGAGAAAGGAAUUGCCACAGUACCAAAGCAAAGUUAUUCAUUCUCUCUGAAGAGAAAUUCACUAUGCAUUCACUUGUGGUAUUUAAUAGUAGCUGCAGUAGUAUCACAUUGGUGUUAGCUGUCAUAAUCAGUUAUCAUAAUUCAUCAAAAUUCCAUAUUCCUUUCACUUUGUACACUCUUAAAUUUGACUCUGAAUGGCACAGCUAUAGGAUUCAUCUCUGUUCCAAGUCAAAUUAACUUGGAAGCAAUGCACUUGACUCAAAACAGAGUCGACUCCCGGUUUAAUAGUGCCAUGUUUACUCAAAUUUGACUCCUCGGAAGUAACAGUAAUCAUUUGAAUUAUGCUGUCCAGACUGUUCAUUGAAAGUAACGCUGAUUGCACUUUCGCAGUUUCAAUUUGUUGAUUGUCAGCAACCUUCAACAAAGAUAAUUAAUGUACUUUAAAGUUCAUUCAUGGUCUAUUGUAUAUUGGCUUUGAUAUGAGAUGGAUGCUUGAGUAUAUUUACAGGCACCUUGAUGAGUUAUGAACUGAAUUAGGAUAGAUUCCUAUUCUGAUCUCCCUGUCAAACUGAGUUAUGAUUUUUUUUUCACUGCCUCAUUUCACUCAAAGAAAGAAAAUCAAACAGAAUAUCUGUAGAUUUCACUACUAAUCUAGAUUGUAAUAGCGUAGGGGACGAAGUGAUUGCACUUGCAGUUCAGUGUUAUGAAGAUAAAGUUUAUCUCCAUUAUACAGAUAUGUUUAACAUAUCUGUAUUAUAGACAGAGAAGUUUGCUCUCAAAAUUGACAUUUUGGAAAUGAUACUGAAUAAUUUUUUGAAAACUUCUCAUUGUCUGCAGCAGGCAAUAUUUAACAAUUUCCUUUCAGACAAUGAAUGUCUUUUCACUAAAUCUAUUAUAGGUGUUUAAAAAGGGACAAAAAGAACUUGUAUCAUCAAAUAUUUCAAUUAAGUUGAUAUACAUCAUGUCAGAAUGGUUGUAGGCUAAGCAAUGAAACAUUUAUGCAUUUUGUUAAGUGAACUUUUGUCUUCAUGUGAACUGGUUGUAUGCAAGAUUGAUUGCAUUUUCACCAGAAAGAUCAGCACCUAAUGUGCUUUUUAGAUAGGUGCCAUUUAUAACAUCACAAUCUCUUUGAAAUGCUAGAUGUUUUAGGGCAUCUAUUUCCCCAUCUUGUAUGGUAUUAACCUGUUUUAUUUGAAUUUCCUCUUUUAACCAUCUUAGAACACUUUUUAACCAAAUAUUGUAAAAUAACAAAUAUAUAUGAAUUUAUAUUCUGAAUGUUAUAAUAAUUAGUUAUUUUUACUAUAUGCCCUAUAUUUUUGUAACCACUCUUCUUGUUGAAAUAAAACAAUAGGCAUUGAGAAAAUUAGAUUUGUCAGAGAUAUUGAAGAUGAAAUCUUCCUUAAUUUAAGUACUUUUUUACCAAAAUAUAUUUCACUCAAAGUGAAAAAUAUUCAUUGUGUAAACAGCAAUAAAUAGAAAAAAAUAUAGGGUUUCGAUGAUAGAAAUGUAACAUUAUAUUAUCAUCUCCUAUAUAACCACUGGUUUUACUACUUGGUAAAACUUACGAAGUAGUACAAUGAUGGCAUUUUAAAGUUAGCAUGAUUUCAUUAUGUGAAUGAAUAGAGACUAUGUCAUGUAUUUAGUUCAUAAAUACACAACAAUUUUUAAUUCUGAGAUUACCCAAGAUUAACCACUAUCGAUGAGUCUGUGUGUAAGUGGAAUUAACGCUUGAGAUGAGAGUGAAAAAUUGGCAACCAAUUCCAUGAUUUGUGUAUAUGAAUAUCAUUUCAUUUAUACCACUUUAUGAUUUGUAUUUGUUUUCUUUAUUUUGAAGCUGUAUGAAUAGUAAUGUUUUUUUGUAUUUUAGCCAUAAUGUAUACUUCUGCCUCAAAUUGUAAUCUCUUACCCUGUAAAUGUAUAUGAUUUUAUUCUCUCCUAAUUAUUUGUUGAAUUAUAAGAUUCCUUAUGGUUGAAAUAAAAUAUAUCUUCAUUAAGUUCAUCAACACAACUCGAUAUGCUAUAAAUGUAAAAUAAUGAGCUAUUAAAAGUAGGGUUAUAAUAUGAAGUUAAGUUUAUUGGUUAAUAUUACAGGGUUCUUUUUCAAUCCUGUGUUGUAUUUUUAGUAAAUAUUGCUUAUGAAAGAAAAACGCCCAGUAAGAAAAACAAAAUCUUGCAGACAUUUUCAAGAUAUCUGUGAAUGAAACAGCUAAUUUCUCUGCUGGAGAGAAUAAUUGUAACACAUUUAGUACAGGUAUGGAAUAAAGUAAAAUAAGUUAUUGAGAUGGUGUUUCCUGUCCCUUUUACAUCUUUACUUUAUCAUUAUGAAGCACCAAGUUAUGAUUUUCAGAUGCAAUUUUGUACAGGGCUUCAAAAUUUUCAACAUAUAACAGACACAUGCAACAACAGGGGACCGUAGAGUUGAGACUUUAAAAAGUUAAUAACAAAUGUGUUUAAUGAAUGAGGUGGAUCCAUGCCAGUUGAUAUAAGAGAUCCCUGGAAAUGAUGGCCAUCUUCAAGCAUGUUUACAAAGGAACAGGAGGUCUUAUGUCAACAUCCAACAAGAUUGCAGAUGAAUUAAAUGAUGUCUAAACAAUG